GCUAAAGGGGCGGGGCGGCGCCGGCGAGGACAAAAAGCGAGGAGGGGAAGGAACACUUCAGACAAUGCGGCCCGCCGCCCGCUUUGUCUCCGGGCACACGCGUUCCGCUUCAAUUUCCCUCCCCUGCGCCCGCCCGCCCGCUAGUUCCGGGCGCCGGAGUGACCGAGGCCCGCGGGGGAGGAGGCGGAGACCCGAGCGCGAGACCGUGGUGAGCGGAGCCCGCCACCCCUGCCCGGUCGGCCCAAGAUGGAAGCGGCCGUUGGCCCCCGCACCUUCCCGCCGCGAGCCGUUCCCUGAGGCGAAAGGCAUAGGCAUCCACGGCCGGUCACUCCAGAGAUCCAGGGUAAAAGGACGUCACUGUUGCCAUGGCGAUGCUGUUACCAACUCCCUUCAGCCUUCCCUCCGCCCCGGCGCUUCUGGGCACGGCCCAGGACAGCGAAGCUCGUGGUCUCCUGGUCCGGGCUUCUGCGGCAGAGGUGUGUAGCUGCCCGCUGCAUCCUGCAGCUGACCCGACCCGUACUGGGCUGCAGAGGUUAUCACGAUCUGCCGCUGGGUUGCACAAGUGCCUUUUUUUCCUUUUCUUUUUCUUUUUUCCCUCCCCUCCACCUUUUAUAUUCAUGACAAAGGUUUGAAGCUACGCUAAACCCAGCCUUUCAUGCAUGACGUUGCUGUUAGGGCUGCGAAUUGGAAAUAAUCCCAUCCCCAUUAAGGAGGAAUAAAUUCUCGGAGAAAGUGGCUUAAGCGUGACUUUGACAUGAUACAUUCAAGUUUGCAGACAGGCACCGGACACCAGAUUCACUUGGAGAGAGGUGGUUAGAAUCCCCCUCUGGAAACUGCUAAUGUGCUAGGACCACAGGAUGAAGCAAGAGGAUCACUAGGAGUUUGAGGCCACACCUUGGUGCCCACCCUGCAGAUUUUGUAAUUGGACUCACCAGCCCACAUAACUGUGUGUGAGCCAGUUCCUGAUAAUAAACUCUCCUCUUUGUACCUA